CAAAAUGAAUUAUCGUUCUCUCUCUUCUCAAAAUGUUCCUCAAUCUCUCUCCCUUCUUGACAUCCAGUCAUCACCGUCUUCUUUGACGGCCAACCCCCUAAAAACCCAAAACUUAAAACACCAAGCCCACUUAAUUUUUCCUUCUCUUUCUGUAUCCAAACCUGAAUUUAUCAAAAUCCUAAUCAAAAAGGAUAACGGGCUUACCUAAAAAUCCUAGCCUUACAAAUUGAACUCACGCCCUUUGUAUCUCUCCUUCCUCUUAACAGUAAUGAAAAGCGAAGCCAAAGAACAACCUCACAACACAAUUCAAAUAGAGCGACAAAACACCCUCAACCUCACAUUCAUGGCUAACAAAAUCAACAAGGUUUGAGUUAAGGCGUGGUGAAUAACAACAAAAACAAACUACACAAGAAAUACACCUUAACCCCUAACAACCUUAAGACCCCAAAUCCAAACUCAAAUAAGCAUUAAUCAUUAAUGGGAAGUAGGAUUUAAAUGAGUAACCAAUAAUACAUGUGUAAAUAACUCAAAGAACUUUGCAUACCGAGUCCAAGCUCCUUUGCUCCAGCUAACCUAGGUGAUUUACUCUCCCUCUUUCGUCCUAUCUACUUUACUUCAGAUGCCUCUGAGUAGUUCGAAUGGGGAAGUUUUUGGUUUGAAAUUUUCUUUACAUUCUAUGCUCUUUUCAUUUCUUGGUGGCUCUGCUUUGUUUCAACCUUCUAUUCUAAAAAUUCGAUUGCUACUUGUUUGUGGUGUAUGUCUAGUUUGUACUCAUGUUUCAUUUGUGUUGCUGUUUGAAUUAUGGCUUGGGUUUUUUUUUUUGCAUUGAAGAAAAAAUUUGUGAUUCUGGUUUUUCAAUGUAUUUGGUUCUUCAAUUUUUUUGAUGUAUGUGCUUGCUAGUUUUGUGUUCUUCUGUUGUGAAUGAAUAUGAUCUGCUAGGGUUUUUGUUUCUCCUCCUUUUGCUCUGAAAAAUACCUCUGUCUUUAUAGUAAAUUUUUUAGGGUUUAUGUAGAGGUAGGAUUGUUGUAUCUUGAUGUAGGAUUAUGCAAAUGGUAGUGAAGUUUGAUGACAUUCUUAGAGGACAAGAGUUGUUUAAGAAAUUUUGUGUAAAUUUCUGCUGCACCAUUGUGCCUCUGUACAUGUGAUACAUCUUCUUUUGUAUCUUAUUGCUUUGGCCUUAGGUUGGUACUUUUUACUAUAAUCAUGCUAAUACCAUGCUGUUGUUUCUGCUUGUGUAUGACAAAAUCAAAUGAUGUAUAGAGGCCCAAGUGGUGGUGUGAGUCGUUGCACCAUGUUGGUAUCAAGAUUGAAAUGGUGUAUGAAGCGAAAAACUAGAAAAUUUGAGAGGAUUCACACACUUAGAACUUAUUUUUUUAUUUGUUCAAUUUUUGACGUAAAGAACAUUUUGUGUUAUCUUACUGUAAAAAUAAAUGAGGAAUGCCCAAUUUUGAUUCAUUCAAUUCUUAAUGUAAAGACCAAAUUUUUAUGUGAUACUUAGUGUAAAAAUAUAUGAGAAAAUCCCAAUUUUUAUUCAUUCAA
rnacentral:lncRNA from 1 species